rnacentral:misc_RNA from 1 species
AACAUCGCGCACCUGCGGGAACCUGCGGAAGGAUCAUUACAGAGUUUACAACUCCCAAACCCACUGUGAACCUUACAGCGUCGUUGCCUCGGCGGACCGCCCCCGGCGCGGCCCCCCUCGGGGGGACGCCCGGGACCACGGCGCCCGCCGGAGGACCCAAACUCUUGUAUUUGCAGGAUGCAUUGCUCUGAGUGAAAACAAGCAAAUGAAUCAAAACUUUUAACAAUGGAUCUCAGAUCG